AUAUACAAGUUGAAAUUCUAUAAUAUGGCAUUUCACACAAAUCAAUCCUAUCUAUUUGUUUUAUGCAUUAUUUUGAUCAUCAGUUCAGGAUAUGUUAUUAGUAUCGUGGUUCCUCCGGGAGGAGUAUGUAUAGGACCUUGUAUUGCAACUUGCGACAAGGACUGUCUCGCUAAAGGAUUUGAACAAGGUGGACAAUGUUUUGCUCAUGUUCUAAAGGCAAUUUGUUGUUGUUUUCACAAAUAAGUUUAAAAUGUAUGUAACAAAAAUAUAAUGUAUGAUUGUCAUCAGAAUAAAUAAAUGAUGUGUUUGAAUCUGCUUUUAAACUUACAA